UACGGAGGGGACUAGCGUUGUUCGGAAUUACUGGGCGUAAAGCGCACGUAGGCGGAUUUGUAAGUCAGGGGUGAAAUCCCGGGGCUCAACCUCGGAACUGCCUUUGAUACUGCAAAUCUCGAGUCCGGAAGAGGUGAGUGGAAUUCCUAGUGUAGAGGUGAAAUUCGUAGAUAUUAGGAAGAACACCAGUGGCGAAGGCGGCUCACUGGUCCGGUACUGACGCUGAGGUGCGAAAACGUGGGGAGCAAACAGG
rnacentral:rRNA from 1 species